UUACAAUGAUGAUUUUCUAUCUUCAGGUCCGUGUUUCUGACUUGUGAUUACAUUGGAAGUCCUGAGCCA